rnacentral:rRNA from 1 species
AGAGACAGCAGUCGCCACGGGAAAACGUAGGUGGCAAGCGUUGUCCGGAAUUAUUGGGCGUAAAGCGCGCGCAGGCGGAUCAGUUAGUCUGUCUUAAAAGUUCGGGGCUUAACCCCGUGAGGGGAUGGAAACUGCUGAUCUAGAGUAUCGGAGAGGAAAGUGGAAUUCCUAGUGUAGCGGUGAAAUGCGUAGAUAUUAGGAAGAACACCAGUGGCGAAGGCGACUUUCUGGACGAAAACUGACGCUGAGGCGCGAAAGCCAGGGGAGCGAACGGGAUUAGAUACCCCCGUAGUCCCUGUCUCUUAUACA